UACGAAGGGAGCUAGCGUUGUUCGGAAUCACUGGGCGUAAAGCGCACGUAGGCGGCUUUGUAAGUCAGAGGUGAAAGCCUGGAGCUCAACUCCAGAACUGCCUUUGAGACUGCAUCGCUUGAAUCCAGGAGAGGUGAGUGGAAUUCCGAGUGUAGAGGUGAAAUUCGUAGAUAUUCGGAAGAACACCAGUGGCGAAGGCGACUCACUGGACAUGUAUUGACGCUGAGGUGCGAAAGCGUGGGGAGCAAACAGG
rnacentral:rRNA from 1 species